UGAAUACGAGAUGCUACGGCGUCGAAGCAGUGUAUGUCAGACUUCCAAGAAAAGCUCGCAAUGUCAUAAAUAAAGAAUGCCUGUACCAUAACCGACACAGGUGGGUAGGUAGAGUAUACUAAGGGGCGCGAGAUAACUCUCUCUAAGGAACUCGGCAAAAUAACUCCGUAACUUCGGGAGAAGGAGUGCCUUCUUUAAGAAGGUUGCAAUAACAAGAUCCAAGCAACUGUUUAUCAAAAACACAGGUCUCCGCUAAGUCGUAAGACGAUGUAUGGGGGCUGACGCCUGCCCAGUGCCAGAAGGUUAAAGAAGUUGGUUAGCUUUUGCGAAGCUGAUGACUGAAGCCCUGGUGAACGGCGGCCGUAACAAUAACGGUCCUAAGGUAGCGAAAUUCCUUGUCGGGUAAGUUCCGACCCGCACGAAAGGCGUAAUGAUUUGGAUACUGUCUCGGAGAGGGACUCGGUGAAAUAGACUUGUCUGUGAAGAUGCGGACUACCUGCACCAGGACAGAAAGACCCUAUUAAGCUUUACUGUAACUUGAAAUUGAAAUUGGACUUUAUUUGCGCAAUAUAGGUGGAAGGCGUUGAAAGUAAUCUUGCGGGAUUAGUGGAGCCAUCAGUGAGAUACCACUCCUAUAAUGUUAGAUUUCUAACUUUGGAUCAUGAUCUGGUCAAAGAACAGUUUCAGGCGGGCAGUUUGACUGGGGCGGUCGCCUCCCAAAUGGUAACGGAGGCGUACAAAGGUUUCCUCUGAACGGGUAGAAAUCGUAUCUAGAGUGUAAAGGCAUAAGGAAGCCUGACUGUGAGACCUACAAGUCGAGCAGGGACGAAAGUCGGUCUUAGUGAUCUGACGGUGCUGAGUGGAAAGGCCGUCACUCAACGGAUAAAAGUUACUCUAAGGAUAACAGGCUGAUCUCCCCCAAGAGUUCACAUCGACGGGGAGGUUUGGCACCUCGAUGUCGGCUCAUCGCAUCCUGGGGCGGUAGUACGUCCCAAGGGUUGGGCUGUUCGCCCAUGAAAGCGGUACGCGAGCUGGGUUCAGAACGUCGUGAGACAGUUCGGUCCAUAUCCGGUGUAGGCGUUAGAAUAUUGAGAGGAGCCUUCUUUAGUACGAGAGGACCGAGAAGGACAUACCUCUGGUGUACCAGUUAUCGUGCCAACGGUAAACGCUGGGUAGCUAUGUAUGGAGAGGAUAACCGCUGAAAGCAUCUAAGUGGGAAGCCCACCUCAAGAU
rnacentral:rRNA from 1 species